GUACAGGCAGCAAAUGUCACAGUUUAAAACUAUCUUCUUUUCAGUUUUUUAAAGUCUAAUUAUAUCAGGAAGAAAGUCUCAGUCUGUUCCUAACAAAGGGCUUUCGAACACUUUUAUCUUCCUUUUUUUAAAGACUCUGAAGAUGAGCCCCAGGCUCAGUGUCUUCAGCAGAAAACUAUAGAGCUAGAGUUUAAUAAUAUUGUAUGGUUUUCAUAAAUUAAAAAUUCAGAUUACCAUCAUUUUAGGUGACAAAUUUUUAAUGGUAGUGAUUCAAAACUUUCUUUUAAAACAUACUUAGGUUAAAAAACAGAAAAGUGAUUUAAAGCAAAUAUCAAGUAAAAGUGAAUGUAGCACUGUAUAUACUGACAUGGUGAAAAUCACAAGACUAAUAAUGCUGGGAGAAGUAAAUCAAAUCUCCUCACUAGAUGGAUUGGACAUCAGAAGCCCAGAGAUGCAGGGAAUUACAAAGUCAGGACUGCUACGCCCAGGUCACCAUCAAGGCAGGGAUGGUAUCCACAGGCUUCUUUCCAAACGGAUGUUAGACUUUCACUUGACAGUAUAAACUAUUGUCUUCAAAAUGGUCUUUUCCUGUGAACAAUAUUCAUUGAGUUCAACUUGUAAAACUAUAAAGCUCUAUCUUCAUCCCCAUGUGAUGCUAAGGCUGACAUGGCGAGGUUAUUUAGAAGGAACCCCAGAUAUUGUAAAAACUCAACCAGAUUUGUGGAAUCUUAGUGAAUGAGAAAGGAAAUGGCAAGAAGCUGUCUAAUAUAAAAUUUUAUUCCAAGUUCAAUGCUAAACAAGGGUUUAUUCUAUGCAUCUUGAGUGUAGUUUGCCAAAAUAAGUAGAAAUGUGCUUUGCUUGAAAAAUUUAAAGUUCUUAGAACUAUUGCUCUUCAAAAAUACACAGAUUCAUCAAAAUACAAAAUUGAAUUUCUAGAAAGAGAAACAUUUAAAAACAAAACAUUGUUGCAAGUACUUAAAAAUAUAAUGAUGAUUGGAGUUGAUCUAGAGGAUUUGUUUUGAUUUUUAUCUGUUUGUUUUGUAUUUUAUUGCAAUAAAAUUUUCAAAAUGCUUGAGAAAGAUGUAGAUGCAGCUUGUCCUGUCCAAGGGUUCACAGCUUCCUAAGUCACUGGUCAUUCCAACCAUAUUAGCAGAACAAUAACUAGACUGUUGAUUAAAAAAAAUUAAUGCUCAGAGCUAGGGGAAGGGGAGGGGAAGGGGAAGGAGGUUAGGAAGAGGGGGAAGGGGAGGAGGAGAGAGAGGUAUUAGGAAUUGGGCAUAGAGUCUGGCAUUUGUUAGAAAACAGCUCUGACAUUUCUGUUUCUGAGACUGACAUUCUGACUGCAGUUAGUCCUCAGGUCUAUCUUUCCAUGCAGUCAGAAAUGAUUUUGGGUCACUGUGGAGCCUCUGUCAAGCAGGAAAGAGAUGCCUCUGUUCUUUCUUUUCUGAUUUUCUUCUGUCCGUUUAUGAACAAAUCUAUUUCUGAGGCUGACCAUUCACACAUCCAUGAAAAGCAUUGCCAUUGGAAAUCAUCUGUGAGCCAUUUUCAAAUGGAAUUCACCCCUUUAUCCCCUUUGCCCCACUUAUGAGGUACCUAUGCACCCAGAACCAUCAUGUCAUCCAGUCCAUAUCAUUCAAGAGCCUAAUGUUGGAAAAUGUCUAUUCAUAAUCUCCCUGAAGAGAGUUGGUAGAGUAGUAAAGGUAUGUGUGUGAAGAUGGUAUAGUGCCUCUUCAACAAUUCAUACAUAUAUAUGUGUACCAUGUAAGAGUCUGAUAUUCAUAGAGGCCAGAAGAGGCUGUCAUAUCUCCUGAAACUGGAGUUAUAGGUAUCUGUAAGCUACCUGAUGUAGGCACUGAGAACUGAAUCCAGGUCCUAAGCAAGAACAGAAAGUGUUCUUAACCUCUGAGCCUGUGUGAACUAAUUUAUUUAUGUGAGCCAUUUGAGAAUUAUUUGUUUGGUUUUUGGUGUCUAUUUGUUUUGUUGUUUUAGAUAAAUAUUUCUUAGGUACAUCUAACUAGACUCAAACUCAUUUUGUAGCCCAGAAUGACCUAAAACUUCUUCAGAAUUUUUGCUUUAGCCUCUUGGGUGGUAGGCAUGUACUGUCAUACCCCAUUGUGAGGACCUUAUUCUUGCUAAGAAAUUUCAACUGCUUUGUUUAUAUUGCAAAUCUCUCCGUUUCAUCAGUGAAGAAUCAGCCACAAAGAGCUACUUACUUCCUAUGAACAAGUUACCACAUGGUUUUAUCAUAGGUGGAAUAGAAUACUAGACUCAGUUUCCCAGUUGAGCAUUUUACUUCAAUUAUUCCUACAAGUAUCGUCGUCCCAGUUUUUCCUUUUCUAGAUGGUUUGGAUUGUUGUCUUGGACUGCUGAUCUUGCUCUUUUAUAGAGAACAUUACAAUGAUCCCACAUUCUAAGAGAACAAGCACAGUGAGAGAGAGGAAAAUCAUGUAGCUUUAUUUGAUAGAAAAGUCUACUGUGUUAGUAAUAUAAGAUAUGAUUUGUUUGGUUAAAAAUGUCUUUGAUACCAGAUUUUUCUGGCUCAGUGACUCUUCAUCUCAUGGGGCUCCUCUGUCACUGCUCUACUUACCAAAUAUGGAACAUGUGAUUCAGUUAAGUGAAACUUCUUGUCAGUCUUUCCCCCUGCUCUUUGUAACACAUAUACACUUUUGUUCUUUACUAAGUCACAGACAUAAACUCCAUUAUACAUAAGUAGAGAGACUUAAAUGAUUUUCAAAGGUAGUCACUAUCACUAUGUAACUUUAAGAGCAUAUUAGCAAAAAUUAAGCAUUUUAGAGAUAUGCUAACUGAAAAUGCUGCAGGAUCCUUUGGUUUUCCCACAUUUUCUGGAGGAGAUGGCCAGGAAUGUAGUCAGUUUUAAUGUUGACCUCUUGGUCCCACAAUCAUCAAGGAAGGAAUGAAGAGCUUAGAAUUGUUGGGUCAAGGUUUUAGUAAGACAGAUUUUGUAUAUUUUCUCUUCUUUAUUAAAAAUACAAAUGGAUAACUAUAGUCAAAUAAAUGUAUUGCCAAGAGAAUUAAAUAGGCUUUAAUGAUAAUGUGUUUAAUUUUUGCUCAUUCUGAGAGGAGAAGGGUAUAACCUCUGACUGAGAGCAAAGGGGAAAUUUCUUUCUUUCACCCUUUCAUGAAUCAUGGCUCUUUUUAAUAAUAACAAUGAAUAUCAAAUUUUAAAAUGGCUAAUAUUUACAGGGAGAUCCAUCUGAAAUUUCUGAGAGAUGGCUGUACUCAUUAUUAAUCAUUUACAUUCAAUAUAAAUCUGAGUACCUAACAUAUCCUAGUUAGAUACUCAGCUCUAUGUUAGAUAUUUAAGAUGAAUAUGACACAAGCAAAAGGCCAAAGGAACUACGUGAUAGAAGAGUUAAUUACAAGCACAUGUUUAACUAAGAUGCCAUGGGAGAGGUUACAAUGGAUAUAGUCCCGGACAAUUGUCAUGUGGAAAAGACUAGAAGAGCAGUUCAGAGAUAGAACAAUUAUUCCAUGAUACAAAAGUGUGAAGGUUGUAAGUCUUACAUGGAUGAGAUAGAUACCUGAAAAUAUUUUAAGAUAAAUUACAACUGGUUUGGGUUCUUAAAACCUUUACAUUUGAAGUCAACUCUUGUCAAAGUCUUUUUCUUUUAAGUGUUGUUCAUUAAGGAAUUUAGUUUGUCAUGACAGUGAUAAUGUUAACUGUAUUUACUUCAUAAGUAUUUUAAUUACCAUUUACAUGUGGUUUCCACAGCAUUUUCCUUAAUCUCUGGUGAGCCAGAAAACUGUCAGUAAAGAACUAAUCUGCCAAAGAACUGAAGGGUAACAGAUCACUUACAGUCUCCUGAAACAGAGAAUGGAGAUUCAUGCCAGAUCAAAUUAUAAGAUAUUUGAACAUUAAUACAGGUGUCAUUACAAACCUUUCUGGAAUUAGUUAGCAAAACCUAACAUUAGGGAGUCUAAACCUUGUGAUGAAGGCAGCGAUAUAGUGAUACAGAGUGGAGGUCAGAGCCCUAUGUUUGUUUAUUUUUAUUUUGGUGCUGACCAUUAAACCCACACCUUUGUACACUCUAGGCAAGGUCUCUGCCUCCUCAACCUAAGUCAUUUGCAAGUGCAGGAGAGUGAGAUUAUCUUAAAAAGAACUUUUGCAUCAGAAGACAUUUUCACAUGAUGUGAAAUGGUUGCACAUUUAUGAUCACAAACAUAAUUACUGUUACUUAUGGAAAUAAUUUUACAUAUAUAAUAAAGAAUCACCAUCUAGCACAUAAUCCACAUCAAGUGCCCCCAUGUGUUCAUCCAGACAGACUUCUCUGAGACAAACUCUAAGGUGGUGGGGAAGAAAGAAAGGAAAUAGAAGAGAGAAGUAAAGGAAAGAAGAAAAAGGAAAAUGAAGGAGGGAUAAAGGGUGUGAAGGAAAGAGAGAGAAGAAGGAAAGAAGUUUUGCUUUACCUGUCCCUCCUUUAAAUUGUGAAUAGUCUGUCCAUCUGCCAAAACAAAACCUAAGAAAUGUCAUGAUCAAUGCUUACUUUGGAAGGGUGAGUAGCAGUAAAAAUAAUUGAGGGUAAAACUGAAGAACAACCAUUGCGGUGGCAAUCACACCUUGUGUUAUCAUGUGACAGUGACCACCUUUCAAAUAUGCAAACUUUUACUUUCCAUGGAAUGCAGAAUUAAGCCACAUAUCAUCUGUUGUAAAAAUGCUAAGAUGUCAUGGACAUAGCUGUUUAUGAACAUAUUCAAAAAAUAGUUGAAUUCUCAAUUCAUUUGGAUGAAGUUGAAAAAUUAAUUGCUGACUCUUCCUAAUUCAGCAAAAUAACUUUCUAAUUCUUCAAAAUUAGUUUUUCAGUCUUUUUUUGGGGGGGGAGUGGUUUUUGUUUGUUUGUUUGUUUUGGUUUUUGGGGUUUUUUUUGGACAGGAUUUCUCUGUGUAGCACUGGUUGUCCUGGAACUGACUUUGUAGAUCAAGCUUUCCUAGAACUCAUCAAGACCCACAUGCUUCUGCCUCCCGAGUGCUAGGAUUAAAGGAAUGUGCCACCACCCAGCCCCACAAUUAGUAUUCUUUUUUUAUUAUAUAUAAUUAUACAAUACAUUUAUUGUAUAUAUUAUUUAUUGUAUUUUAUUUAUUUAUUUGAGCAUGCUGUAGCUGUCUUCAGACACACCAGAAGAGGGCAUCAGAUCCCAUUACAGAUGGUUGUGAGCCACCAUGUGGUUGCUGGGAAUUGAACUCAGGACCUCUGAAAGAGCAGACAGUGCUCUUAACUAUUGGGACAUUUCCCCAGCUAAUGGAAGUUGUCACUAUAUUGGCUACUUUUAUGUCAACACAAUCUAAAGAUGAAAGAGAAAUCAAAAAGAGAGAAACUCAACUGAGAAAAUGCCCCCAAGAGAUUGGCCUGUAGGUAAGUCCGAAGUACAUUUUCUUGACGCUUGAUUGAUAUGGGAGGGCUGCCACUCCUAGGCAGGUAGUCCUGGGUGCUAUCAGAAAGCAGGCUGAGUGAGCCAUGGGAGUAAGCCAGUAAGCAGCACCCCUCUAUGGCCUCAGUUCUUGCUUUGAGUGCCUACCCUGACUUCUUUCGGUGAUAGACUGUGAUCUGAGAUUGCUAAGCUAAAACAAAUCUUAUCCUCCCCCAGUUGUUUAUGGUCAUGGUGUUUGUCACAGCAAUAAAAACCCUAAGACAGGCUCUAAGAGUUCUUGGAUUACUUUUGAUAUCCACUUUCCCAGUGUACUUUGUGUUAGUGUUUUUCAUUUUUUUUUUUAGGAAAAAGUCAUCUGUGCUCUGUAAGUAGAAAGUUUAUAAUUUUUAGUAGUGUAAGACAAAAAGUGCAACUACAGGACAAGGUAAACAAACAAACACCUCGAGGCUAAUAUGUUCACAUGUCAUUUAUUAUGUUGUCUAAGAUUUUUUCCCCUCAAUAUUCAUGUGUUGAAGUCCUGGCCCCUAGUAUGAUGCCUUUGAGUUUGUGGCCUUUUGUGAGUUAGCUAGGUCAGUGAGGUAUGUCUCUCAAAACAAAAUUAGUAGUUUUGUAAGAAAAUAGCCCACUGGUACAAUACUGAAGUUGGAUAACUGAUCUAGUCUUAGAUUGGAUUUGAAGCUUUCUUCAUAGAUAGGAAUCCAUACCUGGGAUUUUAAACACAUUCAUAAAUCAAAGCAUAGAGAGGCCAUUGGUCCCUGGUGGUAACUGUCCUGUUAUUAAGCUAAACUUACAUGGCCCCAAACUUUAUUCUAAAUAUUUAUGUUCAGACUCUAUAUACAAUGCUACUCCCAUGUUUAAUCAAAGAAGCUUGUUAUUGCAACAAACCAGUAAAAAGCAAAAGACUCAUAGCUGCUCAAGGUAAUGAGAACGAGUGACAUCAGAAUGCUCAGUCCUAAACAGGAUAUUUUUGCCACUACCUGUAGAGCUUAGGGGACACUUCACAAGAAGCAUCAUAUGAAUGAAUACAAAGGCUAGAAGAUAGGGAGAAGGGUGCAUAAUAGCACCAUGGUCUUCUAAAUGAGAAUGGCUCCUUAGACUCCUGUGUUUGGAUGCCCAGGUGGAACUGUUUUGGAAGGAUUAGGACAUGUAGCAUUGUUGAAGGGAGUGUGUCACUGGGGAUGUGCUUUGGGGUUUCAAAUGGCCAUUCCUCCGUUGGCGCUUUCUGCUUCCUUCCUGUGGAUGCAGCUUUCUGGUUCCUUCCUGUGGAUGCAGCUUUCUGCUUCCUACCUGUGGAUGCAGAUGUAAGCUCUCAGCUACUGCUCCAGUGCCAUGCCUUACUGCCUGCUGUCAUGCUUCUCACCGUGAUGGGCAUGGACUUUAUCCCUGAAACUGUAAGCACAAAUAAAUAUUUUCUUUGUAAGUUUCCUUGGUCAUGACUUAUAACAGCAAUUGAAAAGUACUUAAUUCAGGGCAGGACAAAGCCACUGUAAACAAAGUUUCAAUGUAACUGCAGUUGCCUGAACUGUACUCACAUAAAACUGGGCCUCCCAACUGCCAUCCAGGGACCAAGGAGGAACUCAGGGAGCCCUACCCCUUCUAGCUGAACUAUUAGCUACUGACAGAUUCUAUGGUAGGGACAAUUACUAUAUUCAGUUCUGUACCCAAGAGUGAACCCUCCAGACUCCAAUGAAUAGUUAGUUCCAAACCUGUGACCUUAUAUAUUUUGUUAAAAUCAAUGGGUCACAAAACAAACACGAAGACAUGAGUUUGGAAAGAAACUUACAGAGGGAGAAUGAUGGGGACAGGGGAAAACAAAACAGGGAUCAAGGACAGAAUGCACUAUAUACAUGUAUGGAAUUAUCAGAAAACAACGUAAAAAAAAAGUGGACAUAUGGGCAAGAAGAGGGGAAACAGGAGGAAUGGAAAAGGAGGAAGGAUGGACCAGAGAGAGGAGGAAGAACAGGAGGGUAGAAGAGAAGGAUGAGGGAUGGAAAUGGAAGAGAAGGGAUGGAAGUGAAUGGAAGAGGAGGGGGAGAAAGGACUGGGGGAGGAGGAAAAGGUGAUGACGGAUAGCUCCUGUUUUACAUUCCCAUAACAAGGAAAAGCCAUGGGAUAGUGAGGAAGUGACAGUAUCUAAACCAGGAAGAGAGCCCCACCCCCAGCAAAAACGUAAAUUAUUUGUCACUUAAAGCACUUCUCCAGCUUCCAGAGGUGAGGAAAAAAAUGUUGUUCAAGCCAGCUAGACUGUCGUGUUUUCUAAUGACAGCUUGAGCAGACGAAUGGACUCAGAACUUUCGUUUCUUUCUGGAAAGCACAGAAAGUUGUGCCUUUUAUUUUUGUCUGCUCUACUCAGCAUUCCAGACAUACACAAGCUCUAUAAGACAUGUUAAAUCAUUUUUUUUGGAUUACUCUUCAAGAAACCUGAAAUGAGUUUGGUUUUUCUAUGACUACCUGGCAAAUAAUAUGCAAUAGAAGGUAAGUCCGCCUCAUUUAAAAAUUUCAAUUUCCCCCAGAGAACACACAUUGCAAUUUACUCCUCCCCAUAUCAAGGUUUGUCAUCACUGCAACAGAUUCUAGUUUGAACAGGUGCAUAAAUCUCUCUCUCUCUCUCUCUCUCUCUCUCUCUCUCUCUCUCUCUCUCUCUCCUCUCACCCUCUUCCUAUUUCUCACUCUCUCUCUUCCCCCUUUCUUUCUCUCUCCAUUUAUUUCCAAAUUUUGUUAUUAUUACUGACACUGGCAGGAAUUCCUAUUUUAAAAUACGACAAAGUAAAUUGAGGGAUUAUUAUAUUUUACUUCGUUUAAAAUCGUACACAAGAGGUAGCUGAUUUGACAGUACAGUGGUGAUAUAGACUAGAUUUCCUAUCUAGCAAGAGAAUCUAUAGCAUGACGAAGGUACAAGGAAUGGAACGAUCAGGUCCUAUGUGUAACGCCAUUUGGAGGGGUAUUCUAUAGGACCCAUGAGCCAUUGUUCGAAAUCCUGUGCAAACAUUUCUUCCUUCAUCUGCACCUUCCCUAAGUUUAUCUAUGCUUAGCUCCAAAAUACAGCUUUGCUUUAUUUUAUGAACUGAUAGCAACUGAACGAGUCUAGCUUUUUAAAUAAAAAAAAUAAAUUAAAAUAACUUGGUGUACUCUUCUCCCAAGCUCUUAAUUUUUAUAUUUCUAUAACCAUUAUGCAGAUAAGAGAAUAUUCUCAUCAUUCGCUUCUGAAAAAUUCUUUUCAUAUCUAAUACAUUUAAUAAACAAAUUUGAAUCAUAGUUACAGUUCUAGAACAUCAAGCAACUUUGAGGUCCACUACGUACUUGCAAAUAAAAUUGUAGCUUUAUUUGUUGAAAAGUUUUAUUCUUUGAAGACAAACAUUUUACUUACAUUAAAUAGGGAAGAAGUGUGCCACCAUGGAAAACAAGGAUGGAGAAAAAAAACUGCUUGAGUCUGAGCCCUAACUCCUCCAACUUACUACACAUCUUCCUGUGACGUGUCUUGAGAGAGGCUCAGUGUUUUGGGAUGUGCGUUGAGAGGGUCAUAGUGUCCUCCUGUGAAAUGUGUUCAGAGGGGCAUAGUGUCUUUCUGUAACACAUGGUGACGGGGACACAGUGACAGAAAGCUGUGACAGGUGUUGAUGGGGCUACAGUGUCCUGUGACACAUGUUAAGAGGAAGUCAGUGUCCUCUUUCACCACAUGAGUUCUGGAGAUGGUUCUGGUUGGCAGGUUGAGCAGCAAAUCCCUUUACCUGAUGAACAAUUUCACUAGCCUUCAAGAAGUGUGUUAAGACAUGUAUACCAUCCCACGUCACGUAUUUGCUUAUAUCCAGCUAUCUUUGCCACAGCACAAGAAACACUUUCCAUGUCAUGGGAGUAGCUGAUGUUUCUAUCUUGCCAGCUCUCAGUGGCAACAAUGACUCCCCUACAAGGCAUAGGGAAUGUCAAUCUGGAACUCUGAAUGUCAUCCUCUGAGAAGAUGCCCAUGAUACCAAACACACUGGAGGUCAGCACUCUCCUGGGUGAAGAUUUGCUGCAAUCGAAUGUGGAUGUGCUGAUCUCUGUGCUCCUGGAUGUGGAGCUGUUAAUCUUCCCUCCAGAGUUGGAUGCAGGCCCAGCCUGCCACGUAGCACUAAGCGAUGCCAUGCCAAUUCCAGACAAGGUCUUUAUUGCUGGCAAUGUUGCAUAAUGACAGCUUUAUUCAUGUGAAAACGCAGAAUACAUUUCAACUGUAUGAAAUUGUUUAUGUUCAUCAGAAUUGUUAUUUGUCUUCACAAAGUCUGGUUUCAAUGAACCAGCUAUGUAAUGGAUAUUAAAUAAACAUGGAAUUUUACAUGUUCAUAAUAUUUGGUUUCUUGUUGUGAUUUUGAUGUACUAUACUUUCAAGCAUUGUCAGUUCAUCCUUAUUUACAAAGAAACAUUUACACGUAGUAGAGUGAUGCAGUGACUGGUUUUAUUUUAAAUAAGUCAACUUUUCUGUUCAAUGUUUAAUAUGCAGCUGACUUAAAAUGUUCUUUUAGGCCACAUUUACAUGCUUUCUGAAUAACACAUACUAUAUUAUUUUUGAUUUAAUAUCAUGAGUCAUAUAAACAAAGACAUUCUGAUUCUAUUUUAAUGUAUUUUAUAAGAUAAAUAAUAUACAAAUCACUAAUAAAACUAAGGAGAUCAUAUUAAAAGACUUAGAAGACUCAAUGAGAAUGAUCUAUGGAAAUUUAUUCUCUUGAAGGAAAUUUUUCAAAAUUAUCUUAUAUAAAAUUAACUUUGUUUUAUGAAGUCUUGACAACAAAUAUAAAACAAAAAGUUGAAACUCCUCUAUCUUUUUGCAUAUUUAAGAAAAGUGAAUGGAUGAAUGACUACUACCCAAGCUGAUGAUUUUAGUGUUUUAUAAUAGAAAAACCAGAUGGCUAGAAACACUCUGUCUAUCCAGCUCUGCUCUGGUUGCUUCUUUCAAAUAAAAUUUCCCUUGAUUCUA